rnacentral:rRNA from 1 species
CCUACGGGAGGCAGCAGUGAGGAAUAUUGGUCAAUGGACGAGAGUCUGAACCAGCCAAGUAGCGUGCAGGAUGACGGCCCUAUGGGUUGUAAACUGCUUUUAUAAGGGAAUAAAGUGAGUCUCGUGAGGCUUUUUGCAUGUACCUUAUGAAUAAGGACCGGCUAAUUCCGUGCCAGCAGC